rnacentral:rRNA from 1 species
CUACGGGUUGCUCCAGUGGGGAAUAUUGCACAAUGGGCGCAAGCCUGAUGCAGCCAUGCCGCGUGUAUGAAGAAGGCCUUCGGGUUGUAAAGUACUUUCAGCGGGGAGGAAGGGAGUAAAGUUAAUACCUUUGCUCAUUGACGUUACCCGCAGAAGAAGCACCGGCUAACUCCGUGCCAGCAGCCGCGGUAAUACGGAGGGUGCAAGCAGUGAUCGGAAUUACUGGGCGUAAAGCGCACGCAGGCGGUUUGUUAAGUCAGAUGUGAAAUCCCCGGGCUCAACCUGGGAACUGCAUCUGAUACUGGCCAGCUUGAGUCUCGUAGAGGGGGGUAGAAUUCCAGGUGUAGCGGUGAAAUGCGUAGAGAUCUGGAGGAAUACCGGUGGCGAAGGCGGCCCCCUGGACGAAGACUGACGCUCAGGUGCGAAAGCGUGGGGAGCAAACAGGAUUAGAUACCCCUGUAGUC